UGGGGAGUAGCCAAGCGGUAAGGCAAUGGACUCUGAAUCCAUCACGCGAAGGUUCGAAUCCUUCCUCCCCAG
rnacentral:tRNA from 1 species